CUUUGUUGCUUUUGGUAUAGAGAUGGUAAAAUUAACCAACAUUCAAGCUUCUGAAGCUGCCCAUAUUUUGGGUGCAGGUGUCAAUGCUGGACAACGAACUCCCACAGUUUAUUGCUGAUAUUGUUGGCAGGACCUUCAUUCUUCCAGCUCAAGUUAGGUGAGGUCAACUUCAGUCCCAAACAGCAAACCUUCACCAUUUCCUGUAUCAAUCUUUUCUGAACGCCGGGAUGCACCUCUCCCAGAAUUUGUUAUUGAUGUUGAGUGGUGACCAUAGUGCUGAUGAUGUUAUGCAUGGAGAGAAUCCAGUAGAAUCCAAGGUUUCUGAUGGUGACAAUAAAACUGAUGUUGAGCUACCAUAUGGUGUGUCAGGAGAACUCGGAGAGACUACAAAU